rnacentral:rRNA from 1 species
CCUANGGGAGGCAGCAGUGGGGAAUAUUGGGCAAUGGGCGAAAGCCUGACCCAGCGACGCCGCGUGGGUGAUGAAGGCCUUCGGGUUGUAAAGCCCUGUCAUUCGGAAAGAACAGUCUUACGGUUAAUACCCGUAAGAUUUGACGGUACCGCAGGAGGAAGCACCGGCUAACUCCGUGCCAGCAGCCGCGGUAAUACGGAGGGUGCAAGCGUUGUUCGGAAUUAUUGGGCGUAAAGGACGCGUAGGCGGUAAUGAAAGUCAGAUGUGAAAUACUUCGGCUCAACUGAAGAACUGCAUCUGAAACUUCAUAACUAGAGUACAGAAGAGGGAAACGGAAUUCCCGGUGUAGAGGUGAAAUUCGUAGAUAUCGGGAGGAACACCAGUGGCGAAGGCGGUUUCCUGGUCUGAUACUGACGCUGAGGCGUGAAAGUGUGGGGAGCAAACAGGAUUAGAUACCCCGNUANUC